rnacentral:piRNA from 1 species
UAGAAAAACCUUUCUUUAGCACCAGAAAC